UACGGAGGGUGCGAGCGUUGUCCGGAAUCACUGGGCGUAAAGGGCGCGUAGGCGGCCCGGUAAGUCGGGGGUGAAAUCUUGCGGCUUAACCGCAAGGCUGCCUUCUAAACUGCCAGGCUCGAGCACAGUAGAGGCAGGUGGAAUUCCUGGUGUAGCGGUGAAAUGCGUAGAUAUCAGGAGGAACACCUGUGGCGAAAGCGGCUCACUGGACCAUAACUGACGCUGAGGAGCGAAAGCGUGGGGAGCAAACAGG
rnacentral:rRNA from 1 species